UAGAUGCGAGAGUAGAGCAUAUCAAUAAGCGGAGGAAAAGAAACUAACAAGGAUUCCCUUAGUAACGGCGAGUGAAGCGGGAAGAGCUCAAAUUUGAAAUCUUCAAGGUUCUACCUUGACGAAUUGUAGUUUAUAGAAGUGUUUUCUGUUAGUAGGAGUGGCAAAAGUUCUUUGGAAUAGGACAUCAUAGAGGGUGAGAAUCCCGUAUUUGGUCAUUCUUUCUAGCUUUGUGAUACACUUUCAACGAGUCGGAUUGUUUGGGAAUGCAGUCCAAAAUGGGUGGUAAAUUUCAUCUAAAGCUAAAUAUUGGCGAGAGACCGAUAGCGAACAAGUACCGUGAGGGAAAGAUGAAAAGAACUUUGAAAAGAGAGUUAAACAGUACGUGAAAUUGUCAAAAGGGAAGCGUUUGACACCAGUGUUGUUUUUCCGAAAAUCAAUUACGAAUGUUUUAUUUUUGAGGAGUUAUGACUUCAUCGGCUUGCUCCUUUCUUUAUGAAACUUUCUUAAUGCACUUUUCGGUUAACAAGUCAACAUCAAUUUCUUUUGUUGUAAAAGGGUAUGAGGAAGGUGGCUUUCUUUUCGGAGAAAGUGUUUAUAGCCUUGUGCCUCUGCAAUCGGAGAGAUUGAGGUCUGCAGCGUAGAUCCUUCGGGGUUAGAUACGUUUGUGCUAAGUUAUAGCUUUUCAUAGACAACUUGUUGACUAUGUUUAGUCUUGUAGCUUACUCGCUGACGCUAUUUUACCUACGCUUAGGAUGUUGACGCGCGUGUGUGCGUG
rnacentral:rRNA from 1 species